GAUGAACGCUGGCGGCGUGCCUAAUACAUGCAAGUCGAGCGAAUGGAUAAAGAGCUUGCUCUUAUGAAGUUAGCGGCGGACGGGUGAGUAACAUGUGGGUAACCUGCCCAUAAGACUGGGAUAACUCCGGGAAACCGGGGCUAAUACCGGGUAACAUUUUGAACCGCAUGGUUCGAAAUUGAAAGGCGGCUUCGGCUGUCACUUAUGGAUGGACCCGCGUCGCAUUAGCUAGUUGGUGAGGUAACGGCUCACCAAGGCAACGAUGCGUAGCCGACCUGGGAGGGUGAUCAGCCACACUGGGACUGAGACACGGCCCAGACUCCUACGGGAGGCAGCAGUAGGGAAUCUUCCGCAAUGGACGAAAGUCUGACGGAGCAACGCCGCGUGAGUGAUGAAGGCUUUCGGGUCGUAAAACUCUGUUGUUAGGGAAGAACAAGUGCUAGUUGAAUAAGCUGGCACCUUGACGGUACCUAACCAGAAAGCCACGGCUAACUACGUGCCAGCCGCCGCCGUAA
rnacentral:rRNA from 1 species